ACAGCUUUGGACAAAAGUGUAUAGCCAGAGCAUUCGUAAUUCCUCAUGCACAAGAGCUGACUGUGUUUCUGGGAAGGCAUUUUACUCCUUACUUUCUUAUUUCCUAGAGUUUUCUAGUGCUGCUUUCAGGUGUUUGCUACUUAUUAGAAUUUCACCUACCCCAGGGCACUGUGCUUGAGAAAAUUCUGCAACCCGUCAGCUGGUGUAGGUCUCAGAAAGAGUAAAGACAGCUCU
rnacentral:lncRNA from 1 species